AGCGAACGCUGGCGGCAGGCUUAACACAUGCAAGUCGAACGGGCACUUCGGUGUCAGUGGCAGACGGGUGAGUAACACGUGGGAACGUACCUUUUGGUUCGGAACAACUGAGGGAAACUUCAGCUAAUACCGGAUAAGCCCUUACGGGGAAAGAUUUAUCGCCGAAAGAUCGGCCCGCGUCUGAUUAGCUAGUUGGUAGGGUAAUGGCCUACCAAGGCGACGAUCAGUAGCUGGUCUGAGAGGAUGAUCAGCCACAUUGGGACUGAGACACGGCCCAAACUCCUACGGGAGGCAGCAGUGGGGAAUAUUGGACAAUGGGGGCGACCUUGAUCCAGCCAUGCCGCGUGAGUGAUGAAGGCCCUAGGGUUGUAAAGCUCUUUUGUGCGGGAAGAUAAUGACGGUACCGCAAGAAUAAGCCCCGGCUAACUUCGUGCCAGCCGCCGCGGUAA
rnacentral:rRNA from 1 species